rnacentral:rRNA from 1 species
UACGUAGGGGGGCUAGCGUUGUCCGGAAUCAUUGGGCGUAAAGAGCGCGUAGGCGGCCCGGUAAGUCCGUUGUAAAAAGUCGAAGGCUCAACCUUCAGACGUCGACGGAAACCGUCUGGCUAGAGUCCGGAAGAGGAGAGUGGAAUUCCUGGUGUAGCGGUGAAAUGCGCAGAUAUCAGGAAGAACACCGAUGGCGAAGGCAGCUCUCUGGGACGGUACUGACGCUGAGACGCGAAAGCGUGGGGAGCGAACAGG